CACCAGUACUGCCCGCGGCGGAGGGGGUCACCGACUGCCCCCUCUGUCCGAGCCUGUCCAACCCUGUCCUACAUGCGGCAUGAAGGUGGAACACAGCCGA